rnacentral:lncRNA from 1 species
GACUCAGUAAACAGGCUGUGCCGACUGCUGAAAUCAACAGCCCAGCGAGGCAGGGGCUCCAGGACCCAGUGAAGCCUCCUGCUAGUUUCCUGGGUUGCCAAGGAGACGAGCGCCCCUGCUGGCGGUGCCAAGGCUCCCCGAGGCCCCGCCUCUUCGCCGCAGGCGGUCGCUGAUUGGCCUGUUUGAAAUGCGCCGGGCGGGCGCACACUUGGGC